UGCAAGUCGAACGGAAUCUUUCGGGAUUCAGUGGCGGACGGGUGAGUAACGCGUGAGAAUCUGCCUUCAGGUUCGGGACAACAGCUGGAAACGGCUGCUAAUACCGGAUGUGCCGAGAGGUGAAAGCUUUAGUGCCUGGAGAUGAGCUCGCGUCUGAUUAGCUAGUAGGAGUGGUAACGGCACCCCUAGGCGACGAUCAGUAGCUGGUCUGAGAGGAUGAUCAGCCACACUGGGACUGAGACACGGCCCAGACUCCUACGGGAGGCAGCAGUGGGGAAUUUUCCGCAAUGGGCGCAAGCCUGACGGAGCAAGACCGCGUGAGGGAAGAAGGUCUGUGGAUUGUAAACCUCUUUUGACAGGGAAGAAGACAGUGACGGUACCUGUCGAAUCAGCAUCGGCUAACUCCGUGCCAGCAGCCGCGGUAAUACGGAGGAUGCAAGCGUUAUCCGGAUUUAUUGGGCGUAAAGCGUCCGCAGGUGGUUAUUCAAGUCUGCUGUUAAAGCGCGAGGCUUAACUUCGUACAGGCAGUGGAAACUGGAUGACUGGAGUAUGGUAGGGGUAGCGGGAAUUCCCAGUGUAGCGGUGAAAUGCGUAGAUAUUGGGAAGAACACCAGCGGCGAAAGUGCGCUACUGGGCCAUUACUGACACUCAUGGACGAAAGCUAGGGGAGCGAAAGGGAUUAGAUACCCCUGUAGUCCUAGCUGUAACGAUGGGUACUAGGUGUUGACCGUAUCGACCCGGUCAGUGCCGUAGCUAACGCGUUAAGUACCCCGCCUGGGGAGUAUGCACGCAAGUGUGAAACUCAAAGGAAUUGACGGGGGCCCGCACAAGCGGUGGAGUAUGUGGUUUAAUUCGAUGCAACGCGAAAACCUUACAGGGCUUGACAUGUCGGAAU
rnacentral:rRNA from 1 species